AUUGAACGCUGGCGGAAUGCUUUACACAUGCAAGUCGAACGGUAGAGGGGGCAACCCCUCGAGAGUGGCGAACGGGUGAGUAAUAUAUCGGAACGUGCCCAGUCGUGGGGGAUAACGUAGCGAAAGUUACGAUAAUAACGCAUACGAUCUAAGGAGGAAAGCGGGGGAACGCAGGACCUCGCGCGAUUGGAGCGGCCGAUAUCAGAUGAGGUAGUUGGUGGGGUAAAGGCUCACCAAGCCAACGAUCUGUAGCUGGUCUGAGAGGACGACCAGCCACACUGGAACUGAGACACGGUCCAGACUCCUACGGGAGGCAGCAGUGGGGAAUUUUGGACAAUGGACGCAAGUCUGAUCCAGCCAUGCCGCGUGCAGGAUGAAGGCCCUCGGGUUGUAAACUGCUUUUGUACGGAACGAAAAGGUCUCUCUUAAUACGGGGGGCUCAUGACGGUACCGUAAGAAUAAGCACCGGCUAACUACGUGCCAGCCGCCGCCGUAA
rnacentral:rRNA from 1 species